UACAGAGGGGCAAGCGUUGUUCGGAAUUACUGGGCGUAAAGGCGCGUAGGUGGCCUUCUAAGUUGAACGUGAAAUCCCUGGCUCAACCCAGGAACUGCGUCCAAGACUGGGAGGCUUGAAUCCGGGAGAGGGAUGCGGAAUUCCAGGUGUAGCGGUGAAAUGCGUAGAUAUCUGGAGGAACACCGGUGGCGAAGGCGGCAUCCUGGACCGGUAUGACACUG
rnacentral:rRNA from 1 species